GACGAACGCUGGCGGCGUGCUUAACACAUGCAAGUCGAACGGAAAUUCUCUGCCUUCGUGUGCUGCUCGAGUGGCGAACGGGUUAGUAACACGUGAGUAACCUUCCCUCGACUUUGGGAUAACUUCAGGAAACUGGGGCUACUACCGGAUAGGAGCUCCUGCUGCAUGGUGGUGGUUGGCACGUUUCGGCGGUUUGGGAUGGACUCGAGGCUUAUCAGCUUGAUGGUGGGGUAGGGGUUUACCAAGGCUUUGGCGGGUAGGCGUCCUGAGGGGGUGACCGGGCACAUAGGGACUGAGAUACGGACCAGAAGCCAAUGGGAGGCAGCAGGGGAGAAUAUUGCACAGUGGGGGGGAGCCGGAGGAAGAAACGCCGCGUGCGGGAUGACGGGCUGUGGGUUGUAAAACGCUUUCGGAGGAGAUGAAGAGGGAGUGACGGUAAUGGGUAAAGAAGCAACGGCUAACUACGUG
rnacentral:rRNA from 1 species